UCUGGUUGUGCUGUCAUAACUGCUUUGAUGUCCUGAGUCGGUUCAAAACGUUGUCCUUUCAUGGUCAUUUUGACUUUGGGGAAGAGCCAGAAGUAGCAGGGUGCCAGAUCUGGUGAACAAGGUGGAUGAGGACACAGCGUAAUGUUUUGAGGAGCCCGCCUUUUGCAGCACUCUGCAUUUCUGGGCUCCUGUACACACCUACCCGUCCGCAGCCGGAGGCCCAACCUCUGCCAGUUCCGGCCCUCAGCGGUGCGCUUGCGCGGCCGAGGCCGGCCGAGGCCAGCCGCUCCCGGAGCAAGCGUUGGCGUCACGUGACCGCCAAGGGUGUUCCUGUCGCCCUGGCGACGGCCUCCCCGCUGCUCGCCUUAGCUGUCCGGGCCAGGCCUUCAUCGCGAGAUACACCGGGUCCAGGAGCCCUGGCCAUGGCCACCUCCGCAGGCAUGUCCUUGUCUGCAGGCCUAUCCUCUCCCGGGGUCGACGAGGUGCCUGAGACUGAGAAGAACUCAGGAGACCCGGAGAACACCUAUAUCCUGAGGCCCAUUUUCCAGCAAAGGUUCAGGCCCUCUGUGGUGAAAGACUGCAUCCACGCAGUGCUCAAGGCCGAGCUGGCCAGCACCGAGUACUCGGCAGAAGAAACGCCCCAGCUCACCAGGCGCCUAUCAGAAAACAUCAAAGAUAAGUUAAAAGAGAUGGGAUUUGACCGAUACAAAAUGGUGGUGCAAGUAGUGAUUGGAGAGCAAAGAGGCGAAGGAGUUUUAAUUCACCAGAUCUGGCACCCUGCGACUUCUGGCUCUUCCCCAAAGUCAAAAUGAUCAUGAAAGAUAAACAUUUCCAAUGGAUUCAGGACAUCAAGGCAGCCAAGACAGUGCAACUGAAGACACUCAGGAAAGACCACUUCGGAACCGUUUCAGACAGUGCAUGGCAGCUCGAUGCUUCUGGGAUGCGGACACUGACAACUACACUCAUGAUGUUUUCAUGAACGACAGUUUAUUCUGUGUGGUAGCAGCAUUUGGCUGUUUCUACUAUUGAAUCUUUGAAAACCUGGGAAAAGAUGUGACCAUGAAGAAAUCUGAACUUUUUAAAACUGUUUAAUAUCUUGAUGAAAUAAAAAUGUGUUGGCAGUUUAGCAACUGAAUCUGUUGUUUUAGGCUUUAUAUUUUUAGUGUUUUGAGUCUGUUACAGUAGUAUAUUUGGAAAGUAGAGGGAAAAGUUGGGGACACUCCAUUUCAAUUUUCAAGCAUAACCAACAAAAUAUUUUGGUAAAUUUCUUAUCAGUUCAUUUGCAGGGUUUAAAAUGAUACAUACAGCAUUGUACACUGAUUUUUUUCUACUUGUUAUAAUGUAACAAGUUAUGUCAUUUUAUGUGCAUUAGGACUUUCAGAAGCAUCACUUCCAUUGCUGCAUUUGUUCCAGGUCCACCACUGUCGCUACUGCCAUUUCCUUACGGAGGGACUAUUUUCUAGUCUUUCAGUAUUCCCAAAAUACAGAUGAAUCUCUUUGUACAUAAAGCUUUCUCUCUCUCCUCUGCCCUUGUCACCUAUGACUUACACACUUAUGAGUUUAAACACACAUCCAUUUCUCUGGGGUUUGUCCAAGUG